rnacentral:piRNA from 1 species
UGCUGAAGUUAUGUAGAACUGUGGAG